rnacentral:rRNA from 1 species
CCUGAUCCCAUGCCGAACUCAGAAGUGAAACGCCGUAGCGCCGAUGGUAGUGUGGGGUCUCCCCAUGCGAGAGUAGGGAACUGCCAGGC